CGUCGAAUAACCUUUGAGCCUGAAAACAAACAAGAAAUAGAACACCGCCGCCGCCUAUGCACGCCGCCGCGCAUGCGCCGCCUCCUCCCUCCCCGCUAGCGCGCCGCCUCCUCCCUCCCGCCGGCGCGCCGCCUCCUCCCUCCCCGCUGGCGUGUCUCCUCCUUCCUCCCCCGCGGGCGCGCCGCCUCCUUCCACCCCUGCCGGCGCACCCCCUCCUUCCUCCCGUGCCCGCGCGCCGGCACCCACGGCCGGCCCCAACCACGCGCCGCCGCCCAACUCCGGUUCCAAGCGCCGCCGCCCGACCCCUGGAUCCGCCCGCCGCCCCCCAACCACCGGAUCCGUGUACUGCGUCCACCCCUGGAACCACGCAUCGCUAGCCGUCCUCCCUACUACUUCUGUCGCGCCACGAGGUUCUCACCCGCCUUCCCUACCUCUGGUUCUCCGAUGGAGCUGGUGGGCGACAGUGGUAAGCUCUUGUUCACACAUUUUCAGCUGCUGCACCUUCGCCUCCGGCCUGCUCACUCUUGAAUAUUUGGACUGAUGCUUCCAUUGGUGGAGGUUGUGGAAUUCCAGCACCCAACGCGCCGCCACAAGGUUCCGCUUCUUCCCCUCGCCGCUGAGGCCCUCCGCCUCUAGGAUCCGCUUGCUUGCUUCCGACCCAUGUUCCCCUCCCUAGCCAGCUGAACCGCCUUUCUCCAACUCCUUGAACCGCCCUGAGCGCCCUAGCUGAACCUUCAAUCUCUGUCGUUUGCCCCUGGGAGUGACCCAUUUUCGUGCGACCACACACGCAGCUCUUGGCUAGCAGCCACGCUGGCUGGUCACCUCCAAGCUUGAGGAUACUAGUUGGCGGCUUCUUGUCGCGAGCACACCAAAAUGGAUCUCUGCUUCGGGCCGCGGUGGGAACUCCAGGUUUCCUUUUUCAUCCGCCCCUCUAAUUGUUUUGGAGAACAGAGAUGGGAGCAACCUGCAAUUUGUGCUGCAUGUUCAAGAAAUUGUUUUGACUUGAUAGAGAAAAAGAAAAUGAAGAGAAGGAUUACCAUCUCAUUUGCCUCGAUUUACUAUAAAGAACACAUGUGACAGCAAGUCCAGGUAUUACUACAUGUGGAAUACGAAAAUACUUUUACUGAGAGUUCACUUAAAUCCUGCAUAGCUACUAGCCAUAGGAACUUAAUUCUUGAAUGGUUUCAAACUUGUAAUGUUCUUAUCAAAAUUUCUCUUUUGAUUUUUCUAUAGAUCUUCCUUUUGCUCCCCUGACUCCUGCCCUUCCUCUCUUCCCUUUGACGUUGUCUAUACUUAUGAAAAAUGGAUUUAUAUAUUUUGCAUAGUCGAUACUUAAGAAAACAUAAGUUCAAAUCUUCAAACUUCAAUCAGUUCAAGUACAUAUGGAACGUAAGACGACCUUGCAAAAACAACAAUAGCGUAGGAAAAAAGUUCAUUUUUCAAACAUAAAAAGGUAUAAAAAACUUCGCCCAAAAUUAUAUGACAGUUCACUAUGUAUGACAAACUAAACAAAAAAAUGGUAGUACACUAUGCAAAGAAAAAGUCUCACACAAGUUCAUUUCUAAUAAAUUCAUAAGUUCAAACUCACGUGGCGGGGAGGUUCAUUGAACAAUUAUUUAAAAAAAUGAAAACUAUACUUAUACAAGAUAGUUCAAUAUUUUAUUCUAUGACAGUCAAGAAAAACAGAAAAAAAGAGGUUCAUCAUGUGAUGAACAAUACUCCCAACAAGUGUGCUAGAGAUGCAAAAAAUUGAUAGCAUAGCCGAUGCUAUUUCUCAUCCAAUUUCUGAAGAAAACUGAAGUUGAUCAGAGUAACUGAAGAAUAAUCUGUUAGUUCUCGAGUAUGUGUAAUGCUGCCAUUUCACUGUGCAUUUAAUUCCAUCAUGAUGGAUGUAUUACAAGAUAUGGUUGUAUUAUUAUGUUCAAUAAAAAUGCCAUUUUGCUGCAACAUUUUCUGUCAGCUCCUGUCAAGUUAUACAUGUAUGUGAGGAUCCUUCUAUGUAGUAAGUUCAUAGUCGAGAAGUCAGGGACUUCGUAAAGAACGUGAACACCAAAAAACCAUUAAAAACCUACAGGGGAGUUCAAGAAGUUCAUGGCUAGUUGUCCAUGUUGUGUAUUCUUAUCAGUUCAUAAUCGAGAAGACAUGUAUUCUUAUCAAUUUGUUUAUCUACCCGGUCGUGUUGUGUAUUCUGGUCAGUUCGUGUGUGUAUGUGUUGCCCUCGCGGUGUACGAGAGGCCGCCCGUGAGGAAGUCGCCGAUCUGGUCGAGGCAUGCUGCUAUUCUCUAUUUCCGGUAGCACAAACAUUUAAAAAUUCGAACACCAAACCCUGGUAAGUUCAUCUUGACAAAAACUCAUGUCCCAUAUUUGUUCCUUUUUCGUAGGAUGAAGUUAAAACAAGAUGCACAAGUUCAUAUUUUCUAUGCUUUUCAGUUCAUCUACUUCCCAAUGGUGAGUCUGAUUUCCUUUGUGUUUCCAUCUCCUUCAUAUAGCACAAACAAGUACUUGUCAUUGUGCUUGAGAAUGAGCACCAUACUGUCACUUUGGUUAAUGAAUUUUGUAGAAAUUUCUCUCGGAAUUCUAAUGUAGAACUGCUGCUAACUUCAUAAUUAUAAGGACCAUGCAUGUUAUCCAAUGAGCCAUCAAUUGAAGCAAUUUCGAAUACAGAGAGGCAAAUACACAUGAUUCCCAACUAAUAGAUACUAAUGUUCUUUUAGCACAUUGCUAGUAGUUGUAUCAGUUACCUUUCUUUUGGAGCUAUGUAAUUGAUAAAUAACCAAGAGGGAAAGCGCACCAUCACAACUGCUCGCCGCCCCCACACGUGGUUGCUUUCCUCCUCCCGUGCACGUAUGCCACCUCAGCUGCUACAAAUUCUUGUGUGGGUCACCGUUCCUCACUCUGGCGUGUGUCACCACCACCAUGACCUCCCCCAGCCAGCCCCCACGGCCUGCCUCAAUGGUGCCAGGCAUGCCCUCGAGCUGGUCCAGAACCACCACGACGUCCAGCACCGUUCCCUUACAUAUGUGAGGUGCUCGUGUGUUGGGGUGUUGCAUCUACGGCGAGGUCGCCGUACUGCACCAGCUCCAUGUCACUAACCUUAUCUCUGGUUUCUCUUCUAUACGACUUAAUAGGGGUUCUUUGGUGGAGGUUCAACAAAAUGACCAGCAUCAGUUCAUGCCUCCAUCCACCACGCCAUCAGGAACAUGAUUGGGCCAGGGGAGAAGGCAGAAUCUCUGGGUGCAUAUGAUGGAAAAAAUUGCAAGUUCUUGUUUAGAUGUUCAGGAUACCCUUCUCUCAUUUCAUUUAUGCUCAGGAUAGGAGGUGCAUGAUGGAAAAUUGUGUAUCAUGUAGUUCUUGUUUAGAUGUCGUGCAAGUUCAAAAAUAGUCAAUUUUGCCACUGGA